GUGGGGAAUCUUCCGCAAUGGACGAAAGUCUGACGGAGCAACGCCGCGUGAGUGAAGAAGGUUUUCGGAUCGUAAAGCUCUUUCGUUAGGGACGAACGUGCUCUUUGUGAAUAAUGAGGAGUAAUGACGGUACCUAAAUAAGAAGCCACGGCUAACUACGUGCCAGCAGCCGCGGUAAUACGUAGGUGGCAAGCGUUGUCCGGAAUUAUUGGGCGUAAAGCGCGCGCAGGCGGGAUAUCAAGUCUGUCUUAAAAGUGCGAGGCUCAACCUCGUGAGGGGACAGAAACUGGUAUUCUUGAGUGUCGGAGAGGAAAGUGGAAGUCCAAGUGUAGCGGUGAAAUGCGUAGAGAUUUGGAAGAACACCAGUGGCGAAGGCGACUUUCUGGACGAUGUCUGACGCUGAGGCGCGAAAGCUAGGGGAGCGAACGGGAUUAGAAACCCCUGUAGUCC
rnacentral:rRNA from 1 species